rnacentral:rRNA from 1 species
GAUGAACGCUGGCGGCGUGCUUAACACAUGCCAGUCGAACGGGAAAUAUUUCAUUGAGACUUCGGUGGAUUUGAUUUAUUUCUAGUGGCGGACGGGUGAGUAACGCGUGGGUAACCUGCCUUAUACAGGGGGAUAACAGUCAGAAAUGGCUGCUAAUACCGCAUAAGCGCACAGAGCUGCAUGGCUCAGUGUGAAAAACUCCGGUGGUAUAAGAUGGACCCGCGUUGGAUUAGCUAGUUGGUGGGGUAACGGCCCACCAAGGCGACGAUCCAUAGCCGGCCUGAGAGGGUGAACGGCCACAUUGGGACUGAGACACGGCCCAGACUCCUACGGGAGGCAGCAGUGGGGAAUAUUGCACAAUGGGGGAAACCCUGAUGCAGCGACGCCGCGUGAAGGAAGAAGUAUCUCGGUAUGUAAACUUCUAUCAGCAGGGAAGAUAGUGACGGUACCUGACUAAGAAGCCCCGGCUAACUACGUG